GGGUAAAGGGGGAUUAGUACUACACUGCGUGAGCGGAACGAAAACAACAACACCUAAAAUGUGGAAUAUAGCAUAUAGUCGACAAGAGAAAUCUACGAAAAACAAACAAAACUUUCAACAACGGAUCUCUUGGUUCUCGCAUCGAUGAAGAGCGCAGCGAAAUGCGAUACCUAGUGUGAAUUGCAGCCAUCGUGAAUCAUCGAGUUCUUGAACGCACAUUGCGCCCCUCGGCAUUCCGGGGGGCAUGCCUGUUUGAGCGUCGUUUCCAUCUUGCGCGUGCGCAGAGUUGGGGGAGCGGAGCGGACGACGUGUAAAGAGCGUCGGAGCUGCGACUCGCCUGAAAGGGAGCGAAGCUGGCCGAGCGAACUAGACUUUUUUUCAGGGACGCUUGGCGGCCGAGAGCGAGUGUUGCGAGACAACAAAAAGCUCGACCUCAAAUCAGGUAGGAAUACCCGCUGAACUUAAGCAUAUCAAUAAGCGGAAGAAAA
rnacentral:rRNA from 1 species